rnacentral:SRP_RNA from 1 species
GAAGGCUGGCGCGUGGGCGGGUCCCUCGCCAACCCGGUCAGGUCCGGAAGGAAGCAGCCGUAACGAGUUUCGACUCGGGUCAUGUGUCCGGUCUUCCAC